rnacentral:tRNA from 1 species
AUUAUUUUGGCAGAAUUAAUGCGUAAGUUUUAGAAACUUGAGAUUUAUAUAAAAUUUAUAUAAAGAUAAUA